rnacentral:rRNA from 1 species
GACGAACGCUGGCGGCGUGCUUAACACAUGCAAGUCGAACGGUGAAGCGCCUUCCUUUUUGGUGGGUGUGGAUGAGUGGCGAACGGGUGAGUAACACGUGAGUAACCUGCCCCCUUCUUCUGGAUAACCGCAUGAAAGUGUGGCUAAUACGGGAUAUUCUGGGUCUGUCGCAUGAUGGGUCUGGGAAAGAUAUUGUUUCGGUGGGGGAUGGGCUCGCGGCCUAUCAGCUUGUUGGUGGGGUGAUGGCCUACCAAGGCGGUGACGGGUAGCCGGCCUGAGAGGGUGGACGGUCACACUGGGACUGAGACACGGCACAGACUCGUACGGGAGGCAGCAGGGGGGAAUAUUGCACAAUGGGCGCAAGACUGAUGCAGCGACGCCGCGUGAGGGAUGGAGGCCUGCGGGUUGUGAACCUCUUUCGACAGUGAAGCAGGCCUGCCUCGUUUGUGGGUGGGUUGACGGUAGCUGGAUAAGAAGCGCCGGCUAACUACGUG